UACGGAGGGAGCUAGUGUUGUUCGGAAUUACUGGGCGUAAAGCGCACGUAGGCGGCUUUGUAAGUUAGAGGUGAAAGCCCGGGGCUCAACCCCGGAAUUGCCUUUAAGACUGCAUCGCUUGAAUCCGGGAGAGGUGAGUGGAAUUCCGAGUGUAGAGGUGAAAUUCGUAGAUAUUCGGAAGAACACCAGUGGCGAAGGCGGCUCACUGGACCGGUAUUGACGCUGAGGUGCGAAAGCGUGGGGAGCAAACAGG
rnacentral:rRNA from 1 species